UGUGGGUAGCACACUAAGCAAUACUUUGUGAUAAACGGUAAAGAGGAAACCAUGACAUAGUAAGCAGGGUGAGCAAUCCUGUUUGAAUGAUGGGCAAAUGCAGAAUAGUCUGAUAAGAACUAUAGACAUGGUGAGUAUUAGCUUAUUCUUUCCUUGGCAUAACAGGCUAGACUUAGAUAAUAAAAGCACAGAUUUACUGUGUAUUAAUAGGCUGUAUACGUGGUGGACGGCAGAUCAUAA